UAUGCAUCACUAACUCCUUUAUCAUUAUACCAUUCAAACUAAUGGCAUGAAUUAGUGGCGGAUUUUGAGUUUGGGAACUGUGGGUCAGUUAUUUUUGAGAUGUCACUGUUUAGGGCCUUUAAACCAAAGACCAAGGGCACACCUAAACUUUUUUGGGAGAAAAGGGGUUUAAAUAAAAUUAUUAAAGUUCACCCAGUAAGGCUGAUAUUAAUAUUUAUAGGUAAUAUAUAGUUUAUAGAUAC